AUCCAGCUGACGAGUCUCAACUAGGACGAAACGUGCGCCCUGGAU
rnacentral:hammerhead_ribozyme from 1 species